rnacentral:rRNA from 1 species
UACAGGGGGUGCAAACGUUGCUCGGAAUCAUUGGGCGUAAAGCGCACGUAGGCGGUCUGUUAUGUCGGAUGUGAAAGCCCUUGGCUUAACUGAGGAAGUGCAUCCGAAACUGGCAGGCUAGAGUACUAAAGAGGGUCGCGGAAUUCCCGGUGUAGAGGUGAAAUUCGUAGAUAUCGGGAGGAACACCGGUGGCGAGGGCGGCGACCUGGGUAGAUACUGACGCUGAGGAG